UACGGGGGGAGCAAGCGUUGUUCGGAUUUACUGGGCGUAAAGGGCGCGUAGGCGGCCACUGCAAGUCGGUUGUGAAAUCUCCGGGCUUAACCCGGAAAGGUCAACCGAUACUGCAGGGCUAGAGUGCGGAAGGGGCAACUGGAAUUCUCGGUGUAGCGGUGAAAUGCGUAGAUAUCGAGAGGAACACCUGCGGCGAAGGCGGGUUGCUGGGCCGACACUGACGCUGAUGCGCGAAAGCGUGGGGAGCAAACAGG
rnacentral:rRNA from 1 species